UACGUAGGGGGCUAGCGUUGUCCGGAUUUAUUGGGCGUAAAGAGCGUGUAGGCGGCCAGGUAGGUCUGGUGUGAAAACUCGAGGCUUAACCUCGAGAUGUCAUCGGAAACCAUCUGGCUAGAGUCCGGAAGAGGAGAGUGGAAUUCCUGGUGUAGCGGUGAAAUGCGCAGAUAUCAGGAAGAACACCAAUGGCGAAAGCAGCUCUCUGGGACGGUACUGACGCUGAGGCGCGAAAGCCAGGGGAGCAAACGGG
rnacentral:rRNA from 1 species